AGAACACACACACACACACACACACACACACACACACACACACACACACACACACACACACACACACACACACACACACACACACACACACACACACACACACACACACACACACACACAUUAAUGGGUCCAAGGGUUAGACAGACUCAUAUUGGACACAACACCCCAAGGCUAAACCCUGCUAUUCAGACCUGGGGGAGCCACAGGUGUGUGUAACGUUCAGUACACCAGUCUGACAGAGAGGUACAUCCACCAGUGAGUGGAUCAGGACUAAGGAUCGUAGAGAGAGAGAUACCUGGACCUAGACGAUCAUCAUCAUGGCCAUAACCAGCAUUAUCCGCUCCUGGAUCUCUGGGCUAAUAAUCUGCCUGUUUAUCGCUGCUGUUUCUGCAAGCAGUACCUCAAUGGCAUCUACAGAAAUCUCUUCAACUACAGUAGAACUUUCAAUUACAGAAAUCCCUGUAACUGCUACAGAAAAUCCAAGUACUACUGAUGUUGUAACUACAGAUGAACCAAGCACCACUGAUUCUGUAACAACAGCCGAACCAAGUACGACUGAUGCUGUAACUACAGCCGAACCAAGUACUACUGAUUCUGUAACUACAGCCGAACAAAAUACUACUGAUGCUGUAUCUACAGCCGAACCAAGUACUACUGAUGCAGUAACAACAGCCAAACCAAGAACUACUGUUGAUGUAACUAUAGCCAAUCAUGGCACUGUUGAUGUUGGUACUACUUCCAAUCCAGGCACAUCUGAUGUUGUAACUACAGCCAACUCAGGCACACCCGAUGUUGCAACUACAGUCAAUUCAGGCACACCUGACGUUGUAACUACAUCCAAUCCAGGCACCGCCGAUGUUGUAACUACAGCUAAUCCAAGCCCUCCAGAUGUUGGAACUACAGCCAAUCCAGGCACUCCUGAUCUUGUAACUACAGCCAAUCCAGGCACCGCCGAUGUUGGAACUACAGCCAAUCCAGGCACUCCUGAUGUUGUAAUUACAGCCUAUCCACGAAC
rnacentral:lncRNA from 8 species